CAGGAUCUGUUGUCUAUACCCAAUGUGGCUGAACAACAUGAAGUAUGGGAUUUUUUAAGUGUUUCCUCAAAAAAUUACUCUUUCGGAAAAUCCUCAUCCCAUGUCGCAAUCAUACGGCCUUGCUCAGAUUGUUGAGAAAUUGGCUAAUCGUUUGACCCCAGAGGAGUCCUUGUCCACCACCACCGUACGAGGUUGGCCUUCUUCCGAGUAUUUCAUCAAAGUUGCAGUGUGAUUUGAUGUCUAUGUCCACUACUUGGAUUUAACCAUACUAUCAAAGUUAGGUGUGCUUGAAUUGAAAUUUAUAAAUUUUAAUAUUGUAAAAUUAAAUAAUUUUAUAUUCAAGUGUAAUGGAUUUCGCUUAUUAUUAUAUA